rnacentral:snRNA from 1 species
AGCUGCAGGAGCAAUGGAUCUCG